GGGGUCCCUGGUGGACUUGUGUUUAGGCCACAGCGCUCUCACCACUGUGGCCUGGGUUCGAUUCCUGGCGACCCCA